AACGGCCAUACCAUGCUGAAUAUACCGGUUCUCGUUCGAUCACCGAAGUCAAACAUCAUUGGGCGCGGUCAGUACUUGGGUGGGUGACCACCUGCUAAUACCGCGUGCCGUU
rnacentral:rRNA from 1 species